rnacentral:rRNA from 1 species
CGGGCCUCUUGCCAUCAGAUGUGCCCAGAUGGGAUUAGCUAGUAGGUGGGGUAACGGCUCACCUAGGCGACGAUCCCUAGCUGGUCUGAGAGGAUGACCAGCCACACUGGAACUGAGACACGGUCCAGACUCCUACGGUAGGCAGCAGUGGGGAAUAUUGCACAAUGGGCGCAAGCCUGAUGCAGCCAUGCCGCGUGUAUGAAGAAGGCCUUCGGGUUGUAAAGUACUUUCAGCGGGGAGGAAGGUGUUGAGGUUAAUAACCUCAGCAAUUGACGUUACCCGCAGAAGAAGCACCGGCUAACUCCGUGCCAGCAGCCGCGGUAAUACGGAGGGUGCAAGCGUUAAUCGGAAUUACUGGGCGUAAAGCGCACGCAGGCGGUCUGUCAAGUCGGAUGUGAAAUCCCCGGGCUCAACCUGGGAACUGCAUUCGAAACUGGCAGGCUGGAGUCUUGUAGAGGGGGGUAGAAUUCCAGGUGUAGCGGUGAAAUGCGUAGAGGUCUGGAGGAAUACCGGUGGCGAAGGCGGCCCCCUGGACAAAGACUGACGCUCAGGUGCGAAAGCGUGGGGAGCAAACAGGAUUGGAUACCCUGGUAGUCCACGCUGUAAACGAUGUCGACUUGGAGGUUGUUCCCUUGAGGAGUGGCUUCCGGAGCUAACGCGUUAAGUCGACCGCCUGGGGAGUACGGCCGCAAGGUUAAAACUCAAAUGAAUUGACGGGGGCCCGCACAAGCGGUGGAGCAUGUGGUUUAAUUCGAUGCAACGCGAAGAACCUUACCUACUCUUGACAUCCACGGAACUUAGCAGAGAUGCUUUGGUGCCUUCGGGAACCGUGAGACAGGUGCUGCAUGGCUGUCGUCAGCUCGUGUUGUGAAAUGUUGGGUUAAGUCCCGCAACGAGCGCAACCCUUAUCCUUUGUUGCCAGCGGUCCGGCCGGGAACUCAAAGGAGACUGCCAGUGAUAAACUGGAGGAAGGUGGGGAUGACGUCAAGUCAUCAUGGCCCUUACGAGUAGGGCUACACACGUGCUACAAUGGCGCAUACAAAGAGAAGCGACCUCGCGAGAGCAAGCGGACCUCAUAAAGUGCGUCGUAGUCCGGAUUGGAGUCUGCAACUCGACUCCAUGAAGUCGGAAUCGCUAGUAAUCGUGGAUCAGAAUGCCACGGUGAAUACGUUCCCGGGCCUUGUACACACCGCCCGUCACACCAUGGGAGUGGGUUGCAAAAGAAGUAGGUAGCUUAACCUUCGGGAGGGCGCUUACCACUUUGUGAUUCAUGACUGGGGUGAAGUCGUAACAAGGUAACC